AAUAGACCGCUGACCGGGUACGGUCAGAAAAGUAAUACUACUUAGUUUAAUUUAAUAAUUUUAAGUUGUUACUUUAUAGAAUAUGUAUUUUUAUAAUGUAGGUAAGUAUUUAUUAUCUCUAACGUACAUAUUAUUUUAGGUUUAAAUUAGUUCUAAGUUUUAUUAAUGUAAGUAAAAAACAGUAACGUAUUUUACGUUACAAUAUCUAGGACACUUUGUGACCGACGACCUUAGGGACCAAGCGGACAUUGAGAGGGAGCGCAGGGUGAUGGCGGUCCGAUGUAACAUGCUGGUUCGUAGGUUCGCACGCUGUAGUGAACUAGUCAAAAUUACGCUUUUUAAAGCGUACUGUCAGGUUUUCUACACGUGUGGCCUUUGGACCAGCUACACGCAGAAGGCCGUCAACGCCCUGCGCGUCCAGUACAAUAAUGGCUUUAGGAUGCUGUUGGGGCUGCCUCGCUUCUGCAGCGCAUCUGGCAUGUUUGCGCAGAUGCACACCGACGACUUUUUCGCGUUAAUACGCAAAAAAUCUGCCUCGUUGCUCUGCAGGGUGCGGGCCAGCUCCAACUCCAUCCUGAAAACUAUCGCGGCCAGGUAUGACUCCCCAAUUAUGAGGCACUGGGCCAAAAUACUCGUAAAAAGGAACGAAAUUUUAUGAUGUUUUUUCUACCACCUACGCUACUAACAUUAUCUUUUAAGUUUUAUUCAUGUUACUAACCAAU